GGUGUGGUCGGAGGUCCGUCCCGUCGCGUUCCUUUGCCGGUGGUCGCCGUGGUGGUGGGACCAUGGGGAGCGUCCAUGGCUUGGGGGCUGGUGUUCGGUUUCUUGGGACGGUGCGUUAGGUGGUGGUGGUGGUAGUGACGGUGCGGUGACCCGGGGUGCAACGAUGCGGUGUGUCCCUUGACGGUGUGUGCGAGUGUACUGUGAGUGUUUGUGUGAGCAUCUGCGUGUAGGUAGUGCAUUAGAAGGAGAUCGAGAGGGGAGAUUGGUCCCAAGAGAUGGUUUGGUCGAAGGAUGACUACCUUUCAGAGGACUUUAUGCGCGUGUGAGUGUAUGUGUGGUGGGGUUUGAAGGACGACCAGGGACGAAGAUUACUUGGGUAGAGUGUCGGACAAAAAGGACUCCGGAAGUGGGGGGUGCAGUUCCGCUAGCGUGCAUUUCCUGUGGGAACAUUCGCAUCCAGUGGCUUUGGUGGUCCAGAUCCUCAGGAUCUCGUGUGUACCAUUAUCGCAGGAUCACGUUGGUGAUAACUCACUUCUCAGCUUCCGCUUUGCCCUACGUCCACCAUCCUGCCCGGUUGUUGCCGUCCAGGUUCGAUCCUUCUCUCUCCCUCUCCUACACCGCGGGCGCGUGUCGUCUCCUGGUUCGGUUAGUCCUCCCAAAGCCUCCCACUUCGCGGGGCAUAGUCCUCCCUCAUCGGUCUUCUUCGGUCACAUCCUCACGUGCUCAUCUCACUGCUCACGCACGCUCCUCCCCAUCAAGAUCGCGCCACCCGUUGUUUCUCGCGAUCCAAUCCCCACACCCCUGCCGCCCCUUUCCAUCCACUCUCUAGAGCCGGCCCAACUUCCCCCCCAGGUCAGCUCCUCUCCUCCCGCCCCGCACAGACUCAUCCGGUCGGGGGGGCUGCGGCAUACGGGGUGCGGCACGGCCCGCUGGCUUGUCGUACGCAUCGGCGUUUUGCGUGUCUAACGGCGCACAACACAGACAAACAACGCUUGUUCAAGAGAAUCCAACGCAAGAUGAAAUCCAACGUAGAAUACAAAAAAAUAACACAGUUUUUGAAUACCCUCAAGUCACAGAAGAGAAUUUGAUUUCCUCGUGAGGGGUUAUUAUCAUACCAAACAAAAAGUGGGAACAAAAGGGGAGAAGGGGAGAGGGGGAGUUGCUACAUCGUCGGGUCUCCGCAGGGUGUGGAGCCGGCCCAUCGCGCAUCUCCGCUGCUUCGCGUCCGAUUACGCCGAUGUUUUGUGGUGAAGAGAAGAUGAGGUUUGAUGCCCGCAAGGCGUAGAAUUCUACGCCACAGUGUGCUCUCGCACUCUCUUGCUCACUCUCUCUGCAUUGGUGUAUUUUGACUGCGCAGUGCAGACGAACGGAUGCGCGUCCCGUCUACGAGAGUUGCCCCGAAACAUAACAUAAAAAAUCAUCCCCGAUAAGUGGCCUACCAACUGGUAUGGAGCUGGGCAGAUUGGAGGACGAAUGAAACGCGUGGCGCGGAAGCGGACGGCCACCGGGAAUGGAAGGCUACGGAAUGUGCGGACAACAAAUCAACAACGUCCGCCUUUCAUCAAUCAAGCAUCGCGCUUGACUCACACUCCCGUCAUCUCCCGCACAAGCAGAAGAGUGUGGCCAAAGUGAAUUCCAAGAGAACCCUGCGGUGCCGUUUCUUCAACAGAUUUGUGGUGGAAGUGGUGGUGGUAGAGCCAUUGCCCUGUGACAUUACAAACCGUGGUGAGCUAUUGGACUACGCGGGUAGCGCGUGAAGCAUAAUUAAUGGUGAAUUAGUGUCGGCUUUGUAGCUUCUUGGGUUUCCAACGUGCAACUCCGGUUGGAGCAUUCAAGUGACCUGAACUGUGGGUAGGAGCUGUGGAAUUAGAGUGAACCUGAGAACCCUCGCCCUACUGUGCCACCGUGACAAUUGAUCGAGCGUGACUCAGGUGAAAUAAGCGUGGUGUGCGGUUUCCGGGCGGCUAGCCUAAUGCCUGACGUGAAGUGAAGCUUUGAUUUCAGUUCUAAGCGUUAAUUGUACCUUUUGCUAGCUUCCGGACAUUGACAUUGAUGGAUGGAUGAUGUCCGGAAGAGAUUUCUAAGCAUAAUGAACAAAAAGGAAAGCUUUAAAAGGUUUAAUGUCGCUCAAACUCGGACUUUCUACAUCUCUUCUAGCGAAUGUCACAGAGAAAAGAGAAUAAAAGAGCGCUCCAAAGCGAUGGCAGUGAUUUGAAA